UUGUGAGUUUGGGAAUCACUGCUUGAUUGACACAAAGCAGUCUCUCAAGAUCAUUGGGGUUAGAGAGACUUGCGAUUAACAUCACCUGUGACGUGAUUAGGUUCUAAAAUAUCCUUAUUUCACAGGUGAUGUUAAUCGCAAGUCUCUCUCUCUCUCUCUCUCUAACCUUAACGAUCUUGAGACUGCUUUGUGUCAAGAUCAAGCAGUGAUUCCCAAAUUCACACAACUACACGGAUCGUCUAGUGUCACUAGAAGAAAAAAAAACAAAAAAAAACUGUCGAAACCGUUUUGCAUUCCAGUGUACUCUCGCUAGGUACAGAGCGGCCAGAAGGUGCAGGAUCAGAAUCAAAUAUGACCUGAGCACACGGAUAUUUCCACAACUGCAAUUUGAAAGCACAGAUAAGUAAAAGACAACACCGUAACAGAUACUGUAAUGUUUACAUUAAGACAUUAUUGUAGAAGCACCUUAAAGUCUGGAUAUAUCGGCAAUAUCUCUACAGCAUGAUGUCUUGAUCUCUUGGAAUCCUGUGGUGUCAGAACAUCUUCUUCAAGCAGCUUUUCAUCUGCUGGAUCCAACUGCGCAUUUGGAUCUCCUGCAUAUGUAUCCUUAUUUAUUAGAUCGAUCUCAACACCCAAAUCAUGUUCCGUUAGUACUUCGUACUUGUAAUUUCGUUCUAAUGAUGUUGGGUUAUAACGAAUAAACCUACAUUAUGAAAUGA